CGUGCCUAAUACAUGCAAGUAGAACGCUGAGGUUUGGUGUUUACACUAGACUGAUGAGUUGCGAACGGGUGAGUAACGCGUAGGUAACCUGCCUCAUAGCGGGGGAUAACUAUUGGAAACGAUAGCUAAUACCGCAUAAGAGUAAUUAACACAUGUUAGUUAUUUAAAAGAGCAAUUGCUUCACUGUGAGAUGGACCUGCGUUGUAUUAGCUAGUUGGUGAGGUAAAGGCUCACCAAGGCGACGAUACAUAGCCGACCUGAGAGGGUGAUCGGCCACACUGGGACUGAGACACGGCCCAGACUCCUACGGGAGGCAGCAGUAGGGAAUCUUCGGCAAUGGACGGAAGUCUGACCGAGCAACGCCGCGUGAGUGAAGAAGGUUUUCGGAUCGUAAAGCUCUGUUGUUAGAGAAGAACGUUGGUAGGAGUGGAAAAUCUACCAAGUGACGGUAACUAACCAGAAAGGGACGGCUAACUACGUGCCAGCAGCCGCGGUAAUACGUAGGUCCCGAGCGUUGUCCGGAUUUAUUGGGCGUAAAGCGAGCGCAGGCGGUUCUUUAAGUCUGAAGUUAAAGGCAGUGGCUUAACCAUUGUACGCUUUGGAAACUGGAGGACUUGAGUGCAGAAGGGGAGAGUGGAAUUCCAUGUGUAGCGGUGAAAUGCGUAGAUAUAUGGAGGAACACCGGUGGCGAAAGCGGCUCUCUGGUCUGUAACUGACGCUGAGGCUCGAAAGCGUGGGGAGCAAACAGGAUUAGAUACCCUGGUAGUCCACGCCGUAAACGAUGAGUGCUAGGUGUUAGGCCCUUUCCGGGGCUUAGUGCCGCAGCUAACGCAUUAAGCACUCCGCCUGGGGAGUACGACCGCAAGGUUGAAACUCAAAGGAAUUGACGGGUUCUUG
rnacentral:rRNA from 1 species